rnacentral:lncRNA from 1 species
AUGGAUAAGCAUUCGACUGCUGCUUCUGCCCCGUCUAGGCUCCUCUUCUCCAUGCCCUAAAGGCCCCCGCCUCUUGGUUCCACGCGGAUGCUGUCCGCAUAUCCCGUUCUCCGCGGACCAAGACAGAAUGGUAGGUUCUCUGCGGAAGCGUCCGCAUAGCAGGUCCUCCGCAUAAUAACUUCUAUGCGGGAUCUGUCCGCAUAUUAGGUGCUAUGCGGAAUCUGUCCGCAUAAACAGCUUGUCAAAUAUAACCUUCUAUGCGGAAACAGUCCGCAUAGGACCUUCUAUGCGGAUUGUGUCCGCAUAAACGGUUUGUCCGCAUAGGACCUUCUAUGCGGAUUGUGUCCGCAUAAACGGUUUGUCCGCAUAGGACCUUCUAUGCGGACUGUCCGCAUAAACGGACUGUCCGCAUACAACCUUCUAUGCGGAUUAUGUCCGCAUAACCAGCUUUCCGCAUAAAACCUUCUAUGCGGAUUAUGUCCGCAUAACCAGCUUUCCGCAUAACCAGCUUUCCGCAUAAAACCUUCUAUGCGGAUUGUGUCCGCAUAACCAGCUUUCCGCAUAACCAGCUUUCCGCAGUAGGACCUUCUACGCGGAUUGUAUCCGCCUAGUAGGUCCUAUAAGGACAGAUUCCGCAUAGUAGGUCGUAUGCAGAUAAAGUAUGAAUAAACAAGUACGCAAAGUAGUUUUGCACUGAGGGCUAGUUUGGUUUGCGAAAACAUUUUUCCUUCUAAAAAUAUAAUAUCUGAAAAAUAAAUUUUUAUAAAAAAAAUGCAUAAGAAAGUAUUUUUAACAUAUUUGAUUAACCUUUUUCUAAAAAAAUAUUUUUGGCAAGUUGACAAUAAAAAAAUAAUAAAUGUUUAAAAUAUUUAUUUUGGUUGGCCAUUCGCUUUCUUAAAAAAAUUAUAUAUAAUUUCUAUAAUACCCUUAAUAAAAAUUAAAUCUUUAAUAAUUUUUUAAUGCUUCUUUAAUACUGAACAAUUUUUUUGAAAAAAAUAAAAUAAAAUAAUUCCCUUCUUACUUUUCCAUGUUUCUUAUAGAAAAAGCUUUUCCAUAAAAUAUAGAAAUCAUAUUUUAAUGGAAAUACAAAUUUCUUAUCUCUCUCCUUUGAAAACUGAAUCAAGAGACAUCUCAUUACUUUUGAGUCUCUAGAUGAAUCUAGAAUCAAACCAGGAUUAAGGAUCCAGUAACACCUAUGCUAACAAAAUGACUAACACAUUUUCACCAGCGAAAGCAUCCAAUUUUAUUUAUUGUGGUAGAGUUUUUUAAUGUCCCGCUCCCAUUGUGAAACUAUAAAAAUGAACACAAAUAUUCAGGGAAUAAAACUAAUAAGCUAUCUUAAAAUUUGAAAUUAAAAUAUAUAUCAAUAAUUAAAUUAGUUUUAAAAAGCAAAUGUUGUAGCCCGUCAACGAAAGUAGAAAAAAUAAUUCAGAAUAGCAACUCUCGCCUGCUGA